GCGGGAGUGACUCAGUGGCUAGAGUGGUAGCCUUCCAAGCUACUUGUCGCGGGUUCGAAUCCCGUCUCCCGCU
rnacentral:tRNA from 1 species